rnacentral:tRNA from 1 species
AAAUAAGUAAGCUAAAUAAAGCUCUUAGGUUCAUACCCUAAUAAUAGAAACAAUAAUUUUCUCUUAUUUA